rnacentral:lncRNA from 1 species
AGUGUUGUGUGUAGGUUCUCCGUAGCGGACAGGGGUACGAGUGGGCCCCGCUUUCGGCGCUAAUACCAGGAGCUCUGAGAGGAACGUGGGCGAGCUCGGAAGCUGCGCCAUGGAUCUCGGGUUUCCCAGGUUGGCCUCAAACUUUCUCUUAGCUGAGGAGGACCUUGAACUUCUGAUCCCGCUACCCAAACCCACCUCCAGAGUGCUGGGAUUAAGGGUGUGUGACUAUAUGCCCCUUUGUGUGUGUGUGUGUGUGUGUGUGUGUGUGUGUGUUUCUGGGGAAGGAGCCUAGGGCUUCGUGGUAGUAGUCAAACAUUCUAUCCGAUUCUGAGUAUGUCUUGCCAGAUAAUGUUUAGAUCAACUUUCUGUUAUUUUUAGCAUAAAUUGUGAGGAUUUGAUGUGUUGAAUUUGUAGAUCAAAAUGACAACUGUCAUAAUUUUGAGGCUUCUUCCCAAAACCAUGGAAAUCUCUCCACUUACUAAGUUCUUUGAUUGUUUUUAUAUUAGAAAUAUAUAUUUUUUGUGUACAGAUGUUAAUUACAUUAAUAUGCAAGUAUGUCUCACUUUAUCUUUGCUAUAUAAGCUGUGUGGUGGUUUUAUUUCUCCAUCCAAAUGUCAAUGUACAUAC